AGUGGGUGUAACGUACCCACUAGCCUACGACGGGUACGGGUUGUGAGAGCAAGAGCCCGGAGAUGGAUUCUGAGACAUGAAUCCAGGCCCUACGGGGUGCAGCAGGCGCGAAAACUUUACAAUGCGGGCAACCGCGAUAAGGGGACCUCGAGUGCUGGGUUACAAACCUGGCUGUUGGGCUGCCUAAAAAGCAGUCUAUAGCAAGGGCCGGGCAAGACCGGUGCCAGCCGCCGCGGUAACACCGGCGGCUCGAGUGGUAACCGCUGUUAUUGGGUCUAAAGGGUCUGUAGCCUGCCGGCUAAGUCUCUUGGGAAAUCUGGCAUCUCAAGUGUCAGGCUGCCAGGGGAUACUGGUCAGCUUGGGACCGGGAGAGGUGAGAGGUACCUCAGGGGUAGGGGUGAAAUCUUGUAAUCCUUGAGGGACCACCAGUGGCGAAGGCGUCUCACCAGAACGGAUCCGACGGCAAGGGACGAAAGCUAGGGGCACGAACCGGAUUAGAU
rnacentral:rRNA from 1 species